rnacentral:tRNA from 1 species
GGCAUCUUCGACAAGUUGGUAAGUCGCAGGUAUUUCAAACCUGAGUCACUGGUUCGAAUCCAGUAGAUGUCAUCA